GAGGGUAUAGCUCAGUAGUAGAGCAUGUGCUUAGAAGGCACGAGCUCCUGGGUUCAAUCCCCAGUAUCUCCA
rnacentral:tRNA from 1 species